UACGUAGGGGGCUAGCGUUGUCCGGAUUUAUUGGGCGUAAAGAGCGUGUAGGCGGCCAGGUAGGUCUGCUGUGAAAACUCGAGGCUUAACCUCGAGAUGUCGGCGGAAACCAUCUGGCUAGAGUCCGGAAGAGGAGAGUGGAAUUCCUGGUGUAGCGGUGAAAUGCGCAGAUAUCAGGAAGAACACCAGUGGCGAAGGCGCUCUACUGGGCCACAACUGACGCUGAGGGACGAAAGCUAGGGGAGCGAAAGGG
rnacentral:rRNA from 1 species